GGGCUGGGGCUCAGCGGUAGAGCGGUCGCCUAGCACGUGAGAGUACUUGGUUCAAGCCCCAACACCACA
rnacentral:tRNA from 1 species